rnacentral:hammerhead_ribozyme from 1 species
AUACAGUUGACGAGUCCCAAAUAGGACUAAAUGCGCUUUAUCCUGGAU